rnacentral:rRNA from 1 species
GUCUAUGGCCAUGCCACCCUCAACAAGCCUGAUGUCCUAUCUCGGAAGCUAACCAGAGUCGGGCCUGGUUAGUACUUGGAUGAGAGACCUCCUAUGAAAACCAGGUGCUGUAGGCA